rnacentral:rRNA from 1 species
GACGAACGCUGGCGGCGUGCCUAAUACAUGCAAGUCGAACGCAGUGGGGACGGGUGAGUAACAAGUGGGUAACAUCCCGUAAGAGGGGAGAACACUUGGAAACAGGUGCUAAACCGAUCCUGAUGGAUGAACCCGGGGUGCAUUAGCUUGUUGGUGGGGUAACGGCUCACCAAGGCCACGAUGGAUAGCCGACCUGAGAGGGUGAUCGGCCACACUGGGACUGAGACACGGCCCAGACUCCUACGGGAGGCAGCAGUAGGGAAUCUUCGACAAUGGACGAAAGUCUGACCGAGCAACGCCGCGUGAGUGAAGAAGGUUUUCGGAUCGUAAAACUCUGUUGUUAGAGAAGCGGUAUCUAACCAGAAAGCCACGGCUAACUACGAGCCAGCAGCCGCGGUAAUUC